rnacentral:rRNA from 1 species
UACGUAGGUGACCAGCGUUGUCCGGAUUUACUGGGCGUAAAGAGCGCGCAGGCGGUCGUUCAAGUCGAGUGUGAAAGCCCCCGGCUCAACUGGGGAGGGUCAUUCGAUACUGAUCGACUGGAAGGCAGGAGAGGGAAGCGGAAUUCCCGGUGUAGUGGUGAAAUGCGUAGAUAUCGGGAGGAACACCUGCGGCGAAGGCGGGUUGCUGGGCCGACACUGACGCUGAGGCGCGAAAGCCAGGGGAGCGAACGGG